rnacentral:rRNA from 1 species
UACGAGGGGGGCAAAUGUUGUUCGGAAUCACUGGGCGUAAAGGGAGCGUAGGCGGGUUUCUAAGUCAGGUGUUUAAUCCCGGGGCCCAACCCCCGGACAGGCACUUGAAACUGGGAAUCUUGAAUAGGGGAGAGGUCAGUGGAAUUGGAGGUGUAGCGGUGGAAUGCGUAGAGAUCUCCAAGAACACCAGUUGCGAAGGCGGCUGACUGGACCCAUAUUGACGCUGAGGCUCGAAAGCAUGGGGAGCAAACAGG